rnacentral:rRNA from 1 species
CCUACGGGUGGCAGCAGUGGGGAAUAUUGCACAAUGGGGGAAACCCUGAUGCAGCGACGCCGCGUGAGUGAAGAAGUAAUUCGGUAUGUAAAGCUCUAUCCGCAGGGAAGAAAAUGACGGUACCUGAGUAAGAAGCUCCGGCUAACUACGUGCCAGCAGCCGCGGUAAUACGUAGGGGGCAAGCGUUAUCCGGAUUUACUGGGUGUAAAGGGAGCGUAGACGGCAUUGCAAGUCUGGAGUGAAAGGCGGGGGCUCAACCCCCGGACUGCUCUGGAAACUGUACGGCUUGAGUGCAGGAGAGGUAAGUGGAAUUCCUGGUGUAGCGGUGAAAUGCGUAGAGAUCAGGAGGAACACCAGUGGCGAAGGCGGCUUACUGGACUGUAACUGACGUUGAGGCUCGAAAGCGUGGGUAGCAAACAGGAUUAGAUACCCUAGUAGUC